rnacentral:rRNA from 1 species
CAGAUCUAGCUUGCUAGAUGCUGACGAGUGGCGCACGGGUGAGUAACGCGUAUACAAUCUACCUUUAACUGAGGGAUAGCCCAGAGAAAUUUGGAUUAAUACCUCAUAGUAUUAUGGAGAGGCAUCUUUUUAUAAUUAAAACUCCGGUGGUUAAAGAUGAGUAUGCGUCCUAUUAGCUUGUUGGUAAGGUAAAAGCUUACCAAGGCUACGAUAGGUAGGGGGCCUGAAAGGGUGAUCCCCCACACUGGUACUGAGACACGGACCAGACUCCUACGGGAGGCAGCAGUGAGGAAUAUUGCACAAUGGAGGAAACUCUGAUGCAGCCAUGCCGCGUGCAGGAUGAAUGCCCUAUGGGUUGUAAACUGCUUUUAUACAAGAAGAAACCUCGGUACGUGUACCGACUUGACGGUAUUGUAUGAAUAAGCACCGGCUAACUCCGUGCCAGCAGCCGCGGUAAUACGGAGGGUGCAAGCGUUAUCCGGAUUUAUUAGGUUUAAAGGGUCCGCAGGCGGAAUAUUAAGUCAGUGGUGAAAGCCUACAGCUCAACUGUA